GACGAACGCUGGCGGCGCGCUUAACACAUGCAAGUCGAACGGAAAGGCCUGCUUUCCCUUGUGGAUUGCGGGUACUCGAGUGGCGAACGGGUGAGUAACACGUGAGUGAUCUGCCCCCAACUUGGGUAUAAGCCUGGGAAACUGGGUCUAAUUACCGAUAGGACUGCGGGGUGGUGCCUGUGGUGGAAAACGAUUUUCUAGUGGUUGGGGAUGAGCUCGCGGCCUAUCAGCUUGUUGGUGGGGUAAUGGCCUACCAAGGCGGCGACGGGGAGCCGGCCUGAGAGGGUGGACGGCCACAUUGGGCCUGGGAUCCGGCCCCGACUCCUACGGGAGGCAGCAGUUGGGAAUAUUGCACGAUGGGCGGAAGCCUGAUGCAGCGACGCCGCGUGGGGGAUGACGGCCUUCGGGUUGUAAUCUCCUUUCGACCGCGAGGAAGCCACCUGGUUGGAAGGGUGGUGACGGUAGUGGUAGAAGAAGCACCGGCUAACUACGUG
rnacentral:rRNA from 1 species